rnacentral:hammerhead_ribozyme from 1 species
AUCCAGCUGACGAGUCCCAAAUAGGACCAAAAUGCGCGUCCUGGAU